UACGAAGGGAGCUAGCGUUGUUCGGAAUCACUGGGCGUAAAGCGCACGUAGGCGGAUUUGUAAGUCAGGGGUGAAAUCCCGGGGCUCAACCUCGGAACUGCCUCUGAUACUGCGAAUCUCGAGUCCGGAAGAGGUGGGUGGAAUUCCUAGUGUAGAGGUGAAAUUCGUAGAUAUUAGGAAGAACACCGGUGGCGAAGGCGGCCCACUGGUCCGGUACUGACGCUGGGGUGCGAAAGCGUGGGGAGCAAACAGG
rnacentral:rRNA from 1 species